rnacentral:lncRNA from 1 species
CGAGGAAUCUGGCAAGUGUUUUAAGAGUUGGUAGUGAAUAUUAUCAGGCCCACAAGCUGUAUCAUGGGCUUUUGACAGAGAUGUUUUAAGUUCUUCAAGAGAAAAUAGUUUAUUAUAAUUUUCACCAUUUUUUUGAUUUAAAGUUUAAUUUAAUUUUUUCUUUUUGUUUUUUAACUUUUUUAAAGUCUUCCCUGUAGUUGUUACAAGAAGAAGACUUUGCAAAAGUUUCACCAAGUUUGUUGGCAAUAUCCUUUUCAGAUGUUAAUAAAUUAUUGCCGUCUUUCAAAUGUUUUACAGUGGCUUUAGAAUUUUUACCUUUUAUUUUAUUUACCAUAUUCCAAACUUUUGUCAUCGGAGUGCGAGAUGUAAUCCCCGAGACAAAUUUUUUCCAGGAUGUUCGUCGGGCUUGCCUACAAGUCCGCCGUGCCUUAGCGCGAAAAAUACGGAAAUUACUCAAGUUUUCCGUCGUUGGUUGUUGAUUGAACCGUCUUUCAGAUUUUUUACGGUCACCUAUGGCUUGAUCACAUGCGUCAUCAAACCAUGGUUUUACUGGGAUGUUUUGGAUUUGCCGAGGUCUUAGGAAUAGUUCUGUCAGCAAUUGACGUUAGAACUGUAUUAAAAGUUAAAAUUGGAUCUUGCACAG